ACCGCGGUGCGCAGCUAGUACGUUAUAAAUGUUAUAGAAACUAAUUUUAUUUAUAUUUUUCUAUAGAUUUGGACGAAAGUGAAGACUGCAAGUCGAUAGAUGGCGUCAGCGACAUGGAGACAGCUGUUAUGAUGCAGGAAGUGCUUUUGGCGAGAGAAAACAGAGUCAUAGAGAGAGCUGCGUCCAUUCUGCACAAUCAAACAACACAUAAGAAUGACACAUCGAGAAGCAGAAAAAGAAGCGAAAAGAAGCAUUGGUUGGAAACACAGGCCUCGGAGACGAACUUAUAAAAAAUUUCAAACUAAAAAUAAAUAAAUAAUAAUUAAAAAAAUUAA